rnacentral:rRNA from 1 species
ACUGGAACUGAGAUACGGUCCAGACUCCUACGGGAGGCAGCAGUGAGGAAUAUUCCACAAUGGGCGAAAGCCUGAUGGAGCAAUGCCGCGUGCAGGAUGAAGGCCUUCGGGUUGUAAACUGCUUUUAUAUGAGAAGACUAUGACGGUAACAUAUGAAUAAGGACCGGCUAACUACGUGCCAGCAGCCGCGGUCAUACGUAGGGUCCAAGCGUUAUCCGGAGUGACUGGGCGUAAAGAGUUGCGUAGGCGGCUCAUUAAGCGAGUGAUGAAAACUAUCGGCUCAACCGGUAGCCUAUCAUUCGAACUGAUGAGCUCGAGAGUAUCAGAGGUCGCUGGAAUUCCUAGUGUAGGAGUGAAAUCCGUAGAUAUUAGGAGGAACACCAAUGGCGUAGGCAGGCGACUGGGAUAUUUCUGACGCUAAGGCACGAAAGCGUGGGGAGCGAACCGGAUUAGAUACCCGGGUAGUCCACGCCGUAAACGAUGAAUGCUAAUUGUUUGGGGUAUCGACCCCUCGAGUAAUAAAGCUAACGCGUUAAGCAUUCCGCCUGUGGAGUACGGCCGCAAGGCUAAAA